GGGCUAUGUUGUAAAACAUACAGCUUCUUCACAAAAAGUAUUAGUGUUACUCAUAUAAGAUUUAUUUAUACCUAAUACUUAUUAAAUUAGGUAUGUGUGUAAAACUAUUUUUUUACUAGGAUUUCUGAUGCACUGGUUAAAAACACAGCAGCACUUAAUUUACCAAGUGGUUUACCCUUCAAAGCUACAGGGGUAGCUUUCCUGAAGAGUGCAAAAACUUCUUUAGCUUUCAAAAUGGUAUAUAGUACAAACAGUGAAGCUAAUAUAGACACAUCUGAUCAUUCAUCAUCAACAAUAACUGCAUCUGAGAAUUAUAGUUCUACAGUAACCGUGGAGUCUAGGUCAACAAUUACUAUUUCUCAUCCAAGCCGUUUUUGUUUAACUGCUACACAUUCCCUGACUCUGCCAAGGAAAAGGGUAAAAUCAAAAUGAUAUCCUGAGGACCUAAGCACUGAUGAUUCCACCGUUUCAAGAGCUUAAUCACUUGUCACCAGAUUAUGGAAAAAAAUAAAGAACAAAAAAUUAAAAUUCGAAGAUUGCAACAAGCAAAUUUGCGCCAAAGAAAUUAAAUUAGAUGUCUCAAGUCAUUAUUAAAAUACUUACAUGAAAUAAUAACAUGAUUUUAUGGAAAAGCCCAACAUAUUACAUAUUUUAUUUGACUUGUAAAAGCACUUGUUUGUAUAUUACUACUAAUAAACUCUCUAAUCUAAUCUAUUGUACAUAGUCUUUAUUCUUAGCUUUGUUUUUUAGUAUAAAUUAAUAUGAUAUAAUAUUUGGUAUUAGGUAUUAUAUAGGUCACUAUUAAAUGUCUCAAAACCAUUAUACAGGCUAAAUACUCAUAAUAAAAAUCUUAUAACCUACAAAAAACCUGCAACUCCUUCACAAUUUGAACAUCCUUGUAGUUUUAACUUUUUCCGCUGAAGCAAUACUGUCCGUUUGAAAAAGUCAGCAGCAUAGAAGUAUAUAUUAUGUGAUGUAAGUAAGUGAUGUAAAACUGAGUUUUGUCCAAUAUAACAAUAACAAUAAAAUUUUGCAAAAUGUUAAAAAUUUGUGUCUUAAAACAUGAUUUAUUAAGAAAUCUAUAAUAUUAUAUUAAUAAAAUAUUUAAUUUCCAUAAAAAUGCUUUGACAAAAAUGCUGCCUUUCAUUAGGACCUUCCUCUAAUGAAGUCCAUUAAAAAAAACACAUAAAUAGCUCAUAAAUGGUAAUAUUAUUUAUACUCAAACUCUUUAAUUAUUAAUUAAUAAAAAUUUAUCAGGUAAAUAUUUGUUGACGACGUCACUGGUAAAGAGUGCUUGUAUCUGUGACAUAAACAAUGCGAUCGAGCGGCGUUGCGAUGCCAUUACCGUUUUCUCGUUUCUUCGUACUUUAUUUUCAUUUACUUAACUUAUAUUGACUUCGAUAUAGAGUAUCUUAUCAAAUUUAUUUUUAAAAAAUGCUUGAUAUUUUAUUAAAGGGGAGCAGUAGUAUUGUUUUGUGCCUUCGGAAACAACUGAAAAUUUUGAUGAUAUUAUAAAGUGAUUUUUGCCAUUUCUCUAUAAGCACUUGGCAUCAUUGCAUCAGAGAUGUUGCAAGCAAACAAACCUGCCCAUAGUUCCACGGCAUGCUACUUCUAGCCUUUCAAUGUUCUAAGAGUAUAUAAGAUAUAUUUUGUUUAUAGUAUAAAUGUCUCAUGUAUG